rnacentral:misc_RNA from 1 species
GAUGAAGAACGUAGCGAAAUGCGAUACGUAAUGUGAAUUGCAGAAUUCAGUGAAUCAUCGAAUCUUUGAACGCAUAUUGCGCUCUCUGGUAUUCCGGAGAGCAUGCUUGUUUGAGUAUCAGUAAACACCUCAACUUCCAUAUCUUUUUUGAAAUGGGAGUUGGACUUGAGUGAUCCCAACGCUUUUCCUCACCGAAAAGUGGCGGGUUACUUGAAAUGCAGGUGCAGCUGGACUUUUCUCUGAGCUAUAAGCAUAUCUAUUUAGUCUGCCUAAAAAACAGAUUAUUACCUUUGCUGCAGCUAACAUAAAGGAGAUUAGUUCUUGUGCUGACUGAUGCAGGAUUCACAAAGAAGGCUUCGGCCGACUUUGUAAACUCGAUCUCAAAUCAAGUAAGACUACCCGCUGAACUUAAGCAUAUCAAUAAGCGGAGGA